rnacentral:rRNA from 1 species
UGCUUUAUACAUGCAAGUCGAACGGAGGCCCUAGCUUGCUAGGUGUCCUUAGUGGCGCACGGGUGAGUAACACGUGGGAACAUACCUCAUAGUACGGAAUAACUGCGGGAAACUGUAGCUAAUACCGUAUAUUCCAGUAAUGGGAAAGAUUUAUCGCUAUGAGAUUGGCCCGCGCAAGAUUAGCUUGUUGGUGAGGUAAUGGCUCACCAAGGCUCCGAUCUUUAGCUGGUUUGAGAGGACGAUCAGCCACACUGGGACUGAGACACGGCCCAGACUCCUACGGGAGGCAGCAGUAGGGAAUAUUGGACAAUGGGGGAAACCCUGAUCCAGCAAUGCAGCGUGAGUGACGAAGGCCCUAGGGUUGUAAAACUCUUUCAUCGGUGAGGAUAAUGACAGUAGCCGAAGAAGAAGGACCGG